CUGUAUGUUUUAAGAGAUUUCUCUAGAUUGUUACUGGAAAGUUUCUGUGUGGAGUCCUCAAAGGCCACAAGGAGGCAGGUUUUCUUCCAGAAUGUGAAGUCAGCUCUUGAUGUUGCAUUUGUAACUGCCUUUUGCCUUUGAUGACUGUUCUUUUCCCCUGGAGGAGUAAGAGGCGGGGAACACUAUCUGUGAU
ensembl:snoRNA U3 Small nucleolar RNA U3